GACGAACGCUGGCGGCGUGCCUAAUACAUGCAAGUUGAGCGCUGAAGGUUGGUACUUGUACCAACUGGAUGAGCAGCGAACGGGUGAGUAACGCGUGGGGAAUCUGCCUUUGAGCGGGGGACAACAUUUGGAAACGAAUGCUAAUACCGCAUAAAAACUUUAAACACAAGUUUUAAGUUUGAAAGAUGCAAUUGCAUCACUCAAAGAUGAUCCCGCGUUGUAUUAGCUAGUUGGUGAGGUAAAGGCUCACCAAGGCGAUGAUACAUAGCCGACUUGAGAGGGUGAUCGGCCACAUCGGGACGGAGACACGGCCCAAACUCCUACGGGAGGCAGCAGUAGGGAAUCUUCGGCAAUGGACGAAAGUCUGACCGAGCAACGCCGCGUGAGUGAAGAAGGUUUUCGGAUCGUAAAACUCUGUUGGUAGAGAAGAACGUUGGUGAGAGUGGAAAGCUCAUCAAGUGACGGUAACUACCCAGAAAGGGACGGCUAACUACGUG
rnacentral:rRNA from 1 species